rnacentral:rRNA from 1 species
GUACGUAGGGGGCGUAGCGUUUGUCCGGAAUCAUUGGGCGUAAAGAGCGUGUAGGCGGUCCGGUAAGUCCGCUGUGAAAGUCGGGGGCUCAACCCUCGAAUGCCGGUGGAUACUGUCGGGCUAGAGUGCGGAAGAGGCGAGUGGAAUUCCUGGUGUAGCGGUGAAAUGCGCAGAUAUCAGGAGGAACACCUAUUGCGAAGGCAGCUCGCUGGGACGUAACUGACGCUGAGACGCGAAAGCGUGGGGAGCAAACAGG